rnacentral:rRNA from 1 species
AGAGGGUGCGAGCGUUGUCCGGAAUCACUGGGCGUAAAGGGCGCGUAGGUGGCCCGAUAAGUAGGGGGUGAAAUCUCGAGGCUCAACUUCGAGGCUGCCUCCUAAACUGUCGGGCUCGAGCAGAGUAGAGGCAGGUGGAGUUCCCGGUGUAGCGGUGGAAUGCGUAGAGAUCGGGAAGAACAUCGGUGGCGAAGGCGGCCUGCUGGGCUCUUGCUGACACUGAGGCGCGACAGCGUGGGGAGCAAACAGGAUUAGAUACCCUGGUAGUCCACGCCGUAAACGAUGGGUACUAGGCGCCGGGGGGAGCGACCCCUUCGGUGCCGUCGCUAACGCAAUAAGUACCCCGCCUGGGGAGUACGGCCGCAAGGCUG